GGGUGCGAUCAUACCAGCACUAAAGCACCGGAUCCCAUCAGAACUCCGUAGUUAAGCGUGCUUGUGCGAGAGUAGUACUGGGAUGGGUGACCUCCUGGGAAGUCCUCGUGUUGCACCCC
rnacentral:rRNA from 1 species